rnacentral:rRNA from 1 species
UACGGAGGGAGCUAGCGUUGUUCGGAAUUACUGGGCGUAAAGCGCGCGCAGGCGGUUCUUCAAGUCAGUGGUGAAAGCCCGGAGCUCAACUCCGGAACUGCCAUUGAAACUGUGGAACUUGAGGAUGAGAGAGGUGAGUGGAAUUCCCAGUGUAGAGGUGAAAUUCGUAGAUAUUGGGAAGAACACCGGUGGCGAAGGCGGCUCACUGGCUCAUUUCUGACGCUCAGGCGCGACAGCGUGGGGAUCAAACAGG